CACGUAAGCCUCGAGCGUUGUUCGGAAUUAUUGGGCGUAAAGGGUAUGUAGGCGGUUAUGAAAGCCUGUCGUGAAAUGCGGAAGCUUAACUUCCGAGCUGCGAUGGGAACUGCAUGACUUGAAUUGCUGAAGGGCAGCCGGAAUUCCAGGUGUAGGGGUGAAAUCUGUAGAUAUCUGGAAGAACACCAAUGGCGAAGGCAGGCUGCUGGCAGAUGAUUGACGCUGAGGUACGAAAGUGCGGGUAGCGAAC
rnacentral:rRNA from 1 species